UGCAGGUCGGACGGUGAAGCCCAGCUUGCGUGGGUGGAUCAGUGGCGAACGGGUGAGUAACACGUGAGCAACCUGCCCCUGACUCUGGGAUAAGCGCUGGAAACGGCGUCUAAUACUGAAUACGAACCAACUCCUCAUGGCUCGUGGUUGGAAAGAUUUUUUGGUUGGGGAUGGGCUCGCGGCCUAUCAGCUUGUUGGUGAGGUAAUGGCUCACCAAGGCGUCGACGGGUAGCCGGCCUGAGAGGGUGACCGGCCACACUGGGACUGAGACACGGCCCAGACUCCUACGGGAGGCAGCAGUGGGGAAUAUUGCACAAUGGGCGAAAGCCUGAUGCAGCAACGCCGCGUGAGGGACGACGGCCUUCGGGUUGUAAACCUCUUUUAGCAAGGAAGAAGCGAAAGUGACGGUACUUGCAGAAAAAGCGCCGGCUAACUACGUGCCAGCAGCCGCGGUAAUACGUAGGGCGCAAGCGUUAUCCGGAAUUAUUGGGCGUAAAGAGCUCGUAGGCGGUUUGUCGCGUCUGCUGUGAAAUCCCGAGGCUCAACCUCGGGCCUGCAGUGGGUACGGGCAGACUAGAGUGCGGUAGGGGAGAUUGGAAUUCCUGGUGUAGCGGUGGAAUGCGCAGAUAUCAGGAGGAACACCGAUGGCGAAGGCAGAUCUCUGGGCCGUAACUGACGCUGAGGAGCGAAAGGGUGGGGAGCAAACAGGCUUAGAUACCCUGGUAGUCCACCCCGUAACGUUGGGAACUAGUUGUGGGGUCCUUUCCACGGAUUCCGUGACGCAGCUAACGCAUUAAGUUCCCCGCCUGGGGAGUACGGCCGCAAGGCUAAAACUCAAGGAAUUGACGGGGACCCGCACAGGCGGCGGAGCAUGCGGAUUAAUUCGAUGCAACGCGAAGACCCUAACCAAGGCUUGACAUACACGAGAACCACCCUAGAAAUAGGGGACUCC
rnacentral:rRNA from 1 species